rnacentral:lncRNA from 1 species
AUGUCGUGGCUAACGAGGGUGACGAAGUCGAAGGAGAAGCCGGAGUCGGAGAGCUCUCAGGCUCUGGAGGAGAGGGGGCUGCUGGAGCAGGCAAUGCUGGAGCACGGGCGGGAUCCUUGGGAUCCCAAAAUGGUAAGCCAGGAUCCCACCCUCCAAGCUGCCGAAAGGCACUGGCUAAGCUACAUUGCCGUGAAUCAUCCUAAAGGAGAGAAGAAGUGCUCGGCCCUGCAGUGGCUGCUGUUCGAUCUGGCCAGUGUCUUGCAAGCCACGGUGGAAGAGAAGGAGCAAUGCAUAAAGAGCCUGCAGAACAACCUGCAGCUGGCCCAGAACGAAAUCCUGGCGCUGCGCUGUGAUAAAGCCCUGCUAAGCGAGCAGGCCGAGCAAGUCAGAAAAAUAAAAGAAGAACUCCGGGCAGAGAGUGCCGAUAACGCCCGGUUAAGAAAGAAAGUGCAGUGUUUGGGUAAGCUGCUAUCCCUCGGGAAAGGCUUGGACCAGAGGAAGGUAGCGGCUCUGAGCGAGACAAAUGGCAACCUGGAGAUGUUGGAUGGGGAGAAUGUGGAGAACCAGGAAAACUCUGCGGGGCAAGGGGUGGGAGCCAGAAAAAUAAAGCCGGAGGAGGGAGAUGGAAACCAGGGAGCGGGGGAUGUGUCCAGAAAAGAGAAAGUUUGGAAGAAACAGAGGGAGGGGUGGCCUGUGUGGGUUAACCGAAUUUGGGCUUUAGAACAGCACACACCUUUCACGUACGAGGCGGCGAAGCGGGUGGUGACAGCCAUAGGGCUGCCCUGGCCCAAGGUGGGGGCGAUCAUCAGAGCCUUGCCCCCCGAAGAGGCCCUGGGGGGAGAGAUCCUAAGGCUGGUGAUUAGAAAUCUGGGAGAAUAUGAGCCUCUCAAGGAUAACAUGGAAGGGGCGCCCUGGGCAGACGUCCAGGAGGUGUCAGCCUACGUGUGUGGGAAUGUGGUGCUCCGGGUGCUAAAGCAGCAGGAGAAGCCGGUGACCGCCGACUUCGACAUCCACGGGGUGAAUGUGGAGCAGGCAGACAUAGGGGUGCUGGCCUGCCGCGCUCCGGAGCUGCAUAAGGGGUUUUUCAUCAGCUUGGGGUCUACUUUGAUCGGCCGUCCCCUCCACGAGUGCAUGGACACGUUGGAGAACUUGGGGACCCUGAUGGGAGCGGAGGGCAAAGAGAAGGCAAAGAAGAACGCGGUGGGGGUAAAGACAAGGACGUACAUCCCUAGAGGGAUAAUUUGGAAGUAUUUAAUAAAUCAGGGAGUGAACGAAAGAGAGCUGGAUAGUCAGCCCACAGGGGUUUUGCUUGCCAAAAUGAAAAAAAUCCUUCAGGAAAAGGGGAUGAAACAAGAGGAGAUCUGGGAAAAACUGAAGCAAACGAAGCUGUCACCUCCUCCUCCUGUCCCAAAGAGAAAACUAUACCCGUUGGUGAGGGACCUUAAAGACUAG